rnacentral:rRNA from 1 species
ACGUAGGUGGCAAGCGUUGUCCGGAUUUAUUGGGCGUAAAGCGAGCGAAGGCGGUUUCUUAAGUCUGAUGUGAAAGCCUUCGGCUCAACCGAAGAAGUGCAUCGGAAACUGGGAAACUUGAGUGCAGAAGAGGAAAGUGGAACGCGAUGUGUAGCGGUGAAAUGCGUAGAUAUAUGGCAGAGCACCAGUGGCGAAGGCAGCUUACUGAUCUAUAACUGACGCUGAGGCUCGAAAGCGUGGGUAGCAAACAG